rfam:Canis lupus familiaris chromosome 35, whole genome shotgun sequence.
CCAAAGGCUCUUUUCAGAGCCACCCAAAUGAUCAGUGAAGGCUGUG